CGGUUACGGGGAACUCGUCAAAACUCGCAGUUUUGGUCUAUUGUGGCCAGUUUUGUAUGCUAUUACUCACUGAUUUUGGGUCCCGCUGUGAACCGAACGUUUCGGGAACCCCGGGGUCCGAUUACGUGGAACUCAUUAAAACUCAGAGUUUUGGCCUAUUCCCCCAGUUUUGUAUGCUAUUAGUCACUGAUUUUGGGUCCCGUUGUGAUCUGAACGUUUCGGGAACCUCGAGGUCCGGUUACGGGGAACUC
rnacentral:lncRNA from 1 species